CUGCUGAUUGUUCCAAAUUCAAUUCUGCUGGUUGUUCAAAUUCCAGCCCACUGUGGUGGGACAGACAACUCUCCCUGUGGGUGCUGGGCAUCCAGGGUGGCCGCAGCAGGGCUGUCCAUCCACAUAUGCUUUUUUCGGGCUAUAACAGAGAAAAGGGGACGGCUGGUGUUUCCGAUCUGCUCAGGGUCCAGAGGGCAGCACUCAGGUAGCCUUCCUCACCCCAGCGUUUAUUAGAUGUGCGCUGCCUGCCCAGGAGAGGUUGCUUUUCAGCCCGAAUUACCCCAUGAGACCGCAGCCUAUGUGGAGGAGGGGACGUUCUUUUGCUGACUCAUCGCCCGCGGCCCUCACCUCUUAAGGGGAUGUUUCUCAUGGGUUUGCCGGUGCCACCUGCAGUUUUGAGCUCAAGGCUCCGCUCUGGGGGCUUCCAGGGUCUCUCUCUUCACAGAACCAGGGCCACUCAGGGGCCUGUGAGGAGGGCCAGGGAGGAAGCAUUUCAAAGUGAAACCCACCCUCUGUAGGGUGCAGGAGAGAGAGACUGAAGGGCAGGCACAGGGGCCGGAGAACUUCCUGGUGGAAAAAGAGAGCCUUCGAGGGUCCUGUUCCAGGGCCAGAGAACGCUGGCCGGGUGAAGCUAAGGUCAGCCUGCUAGAAACCUGGCACCUCUACUAGAGUCAGAGGGACAUGAUUGCUUCAGCUGAUCCUAAGUUGGAAGGGAGAACAAACAUUAGAGAGGCUGUCAGUGAUUUGACAAAGUUACAGCCAUUUGGGGCCACUUGCUGGAUUACUGUUUGGAUGGUCACUUGGGAGAGUGAACCAGCUUCCUCACCUCUGACUUCUCCUGCUUGCUGUAGACAAGGCUUUUGGUGUCUGCGGGUCGGGGUCAGGGUUCUGUCUUUACAUGUGAUGAUCUGGCGACUGUCUGUCUGUAUAUUUAUUCUCUCAGUGACACUUCUGCCAGAGCCUGUGCUGCUCACCUGAAGCCAGUCGGUGCCGGCAGCUGCCCACUGGGAAGGGUGGCAAUGCUUUUGUUCUGCCCCAAGCCCACAUUACUUGGAAGUGUGCUCUGCGUAAUCUGAUAGCAUUUCUGUCUUUCCUGAGUUAGCUGGCUGGAUUGCCUCCUACAGAACAGGUGUUUUGCACCACGAUGGUCUUCAUGUUCAAGAAAGUUGUAAAAAUGCUUUAGAACUAUGAGGGCACCAUGAUUGUUCAGAUUGCAAGAGUCUCUAUUUGAGAGCACCAGACAGGUUCUGGAGAGGUGGGGUAAAGAGUUAAAUUAUGGUAUCUGCUCCAGCCUUUGUGUUACAUAACAGUAUUAACUUUUCUGUGUCCCUGAGUUAACAGCAUAGGGGAGAUGAAGUGUUUCUUCCUGAAGUCACUCUCUGAAUGCAAACCAAAAUUGGAGGAAAACCGUGGGCUAUUUUAAAAUGUAAACUGUGCAAGAAAUAAAUUAUUUCUGAAAGAGUUCUAUUGAGAAGCUCCAACCUGAUGAGCUUUUGGCCUAGUUUCAGGAACAGAUGAGCCACAAGAAGGCGUGCACCCCAGCACCGGUGAGUUGAGCAGUUUCACCUUUGCCACUGACAAGCAGACAACCUAGGCUUGCACAUAUUUAUAGCAAGACACAGCCCAGCAAUUUAGAAAAUCUAAGGGGAGACAUUCGUAGAAGGUGCUGCACUAAAAAAAAAAGUAAAUUAGUGAAAUUUUAACAAGAACUGGAGUUCUGAAGCUUCUGCACACUUACCGUUUCUAGUAAACAUGUUAUCAUGCAGGAAGCUUGGCUGGCCCCAGAGGGAGCUGAGUCCUCUCCCCUGCAGCAGGACCUGCUGGGUUCCUGACAGGCCGAGACCAUCCUGGGCCGUGGCCGGGGAUGGGGACCCCAUGCGUGGCUGUGAGCUGCUCAGGGGACACCUGGUGCCGGCUGUGAGGAAAUCAGUCAGGCCUGAUUGGUCCUCGGAGAGUGUAUAGCUGUUAACCCUACCCGGGGUCCCAUGGUGCUGAAGUUCUGGGACCCCGCGAGCACAGAGUGGGACACUUGUCGGGCAGACCCAGCUCCUUGCAGAUGUUGGGGCCAGGACUUCCCAGAGGAGGAGGCAGUGGCGGAUAGAGGACGAGCAGGGAGUGCUCUCCGAGUCCUCACCAGCACACUGCUCUCUGUCUGGUAUACUGCAACUUGAAGAUUUUCUUCUGAAGUCCGGCACUGCAGAUGUGGGGACCGGGUGAUGAGCCAGACCUCUGCCUUCUGCACGGCGCUGGACCCUGGCUCUCGUCCCCAGUCCAGGCGAGUGCAUUUCUGAAUUCUGGGUCUUGCUUAUCUAUUAAGCCAGACGCUUUCUUUCCUGAAGACGUUACUAGCUGAUGACAAAUCCCGGGCCGAAUAUUUAUAGUGCUUAUCUCCAUCGAGUCAGCUCUGUCCUGCCGUGCCCAGGAGGCCAGAACCUCUUCAAAUCCUGAUUCGAGUGUCUGAUGCUGUGACCUGCUCGCUCCGCCUGGUGCCACGUGAAGAUCUCAGUGUCGUGAAACCCUCUUGUUCGUCUGCAGGCAACGCUGAUAAAAAUACCGAUAGUAGCCUGGCUCUAUGUGGGAGCCGUAGCUUUGGUUUUACCAGGCACAGCGGUGAGCUUCGCUGAGCCUUAUCGGAAAGGGACAGCAGCCCUGGAUGUGCUGCCCACCUAUUCACAUGCACACCCCGGGGCAGCAGCGUCUCACAGUGAAAUCUGCCCUUCCUCCACUGCGAUGAACGAAAUGCUUAGGAAAACACACAUUUCUCCUGCACACUUGGGACUCACAGCAGCAGACACGAAAGGGCAAUGGUUUAGGCUCGUUUAUGAUGAGCCCUAGGGUUUGCCUGCCUGAUGGAGUUACACUGUCCUUGGUGUGCACAAUGGUCAGGGUGGAGGCCGGGUCACGGCAUCUGGUUUAGUGUAAGGAGCUGUGCACACAGGCAAGUGCAUGCUGUGAGCCUAUGGCAUGGUGAGUGUGUAAGUGCAGUUUCUGAGAAUGUUUUAUAGUAAAAGAUGCAUUGCCAUGAAUCCCCCACAGAAUCCUCCCCUCACUGUGAACACACUCCCCCCGUCGUCCUUGCCACUUUCUGCAGCAGCUCUGGUGUCCUCUUUCCUGAGGGUCUUUACCAGAUGUGAUAAAAAGAAAUACAAUGAUGUCGGCUGAGCGCCAUCCCACAGAAAGGCGAGCUCUAAAAUAUGACGCUGUGUCCUCAUUCAUCUUAGUCGCAAAAUCUGACUGCUUCUGGCGCUGCUCAAAGUCAAAAUGACCAUGAAAUGGAAAUAGUUUGAAUGUGCUCAGGACAUGGAGGCUGCCGGGACAGUGCAUCUAAUGAUACUCAAGAAAAGGACUCCAGAGCUGCUGCAGGGAUUGGCCAGGACCAUGGGAUAAACAUGCUCCAAGAGGUGGGGAGAAUCUCCAGGGGGAUGCAUGGGAAUACGUCUACUACUAUAACACAUCUAUUAAAAAUUUAAAUAUUGCUUAUACUUGUUACCACAAUUGUUAAGGUGACGUGUUGGCACAUGAUGUCAGACAGAGUUUUGGUGUCUUAGGAAACAUCCUCAGUGGAUCAUGUCCUCCUGGCGAUCUGGCUUCUGCCUGGAACGGGAGUACCUUAGCCUCCUGGUGGAGGUGCAGCAUGGUGUAGGCCCUGGCAACAAGUCAGUCCCUGCCCUGUUAGGUGGUGACUGGUCUGCAUGGCUACGGGGAGGGGCUUGUGCGGGGAUGGACGUGCAAUCACACACCCGCCGCUCUGGACCCGCACUGGGCAGACAGUGUGGGCCUGGCACCAUGCUACAGAAGUCUCUUAAAAACACACACUCACAGAGUCACAGCUCGUUGGACUCUCGCUGUCUGUUUACCUGACUAGCAAGACCGCCAGGGUUCUGCCUAUUCUUGUGUGACUCUGACCCAGCUUGGGGCCAGAUGUCCUCUGUCUAGGACCGGUAGCAUACACCACAGUUCCCUCUCCUCAGAGAAUUUGAUUUUCUGUUUCCUAGCCAUCCCUCCACCCCCAGAACUGUUUUCAGUUUUGUAUGUGCUCCUUGCACUGUAGGGGCCAGUAACCACACUGUUUACUGGGGGUGUCUCCGGGAAGCCUCCUACGUAGACUCACUCCUCUCGUGAGGGAAUCAAAGAAAAGAGUGUCUGGAGAUCAUUUCUCAUGUUCUCAAAGUCUGAUCACAACGCCUUCAUGACUGCUUGCUACUUCACCCUCUCAUGUCAGCAGUUCUGUUGAAAUAUGUCUCAAAGUCUUUCUCUUCUUUCUUGUUUAUAAGACAAAUAUCUGGCAAUAUUUACCAUACCCUUGUCCAUAAUGGCAAUAGACACUCUUUUAACUAAGAAUUUUUUUCUGAUUAUGAAUGCAAACUUUAUUAAAAUUAGAAGUGUAGGAAAAAUCCACUAUUAAAGGUACCACCCUAAUACUACUGAGUUUUGAUGUCAUUCAAUGACAUUUUCAGUGUAUACUUAUUUUCAGUUAUCAUCAUGUCAUAUCUAUAAUUUUUGGCAAUACUGGGGAGGUUGACCCCAGGACCUUUGAACUGAGCUACAUCUUCUUCUAUUUUCAUUUUUUUUAUUUUGAGAGAGUCUAGCUAUAUUGCUACAUUGCCCAACUUGAGUUUAAACUUGGGAUCCUCCUCUCCUGCUUUAGCCUUCCUCUUUGCUGGGACUGUAGUAUGUGCCACCAUGCCUGGCUUACAUAUGUUAUCUACCAUUUCAUACUCUCCAAAUUACCUGCUCUGUGUUAUAUGAACAUCAAGUAAAAAUUACUAUAGGGUCUAUUGUUCAUAAUGUUUCUUAUGCCUUUGAUGUAAAGGUUUCUGCUCUCUAUUUCUCUUGCAUUAUUUCCUCAAGAUAAAGUCAAAAAAGCAUUAUUGCUGUAUGGAGGGGACAGUUUUAAGGUUCUUGAUACAUAUUUCCA